rnacentral:misc_RNA from 1 species
AAGGAGUCGAACAUUUGUGCGAGUGCUUGGGUGUUAAACCUUCAUGCGCAAUGAAAGUGAACGGAGGUGAGAGCCCUUACGGGUGCGUCAUCGACCGUUCCUGAUGUCUUCGGAUGGGUUUGAGUAGGAGCAUAAGUGUUCGGACCCGAAAGAUGGUGAACUAUGCGUGGAUAGGGUGAAGCCAGGGGAAACUCUGAUGGAGGCUCGCAGCGAUACUGACGUGCAAAUCGAUCGUCGAAUCUGCGCAUGGGGGCGAAAGACUAAUCAAACCAUCUAGUAGCUGGUUACCUC